rnacentral:rRNA from 1 species
UACGUAGGUGGCGAGCGUUGUCCGGAAUUACUGGGCGUAAAGGGUGCGUAGGCGGUCUUUUAAGUGGGGUGUGAAAUCCCCGGGCUUAACCCGGGAACUGCACUCCAAACUGGAAGGCUAGAGUACAGGAGAGGAAAGCGGAAUUCCCAGUGUAGCGGUGAAAUGCGUAGAGAUCUGGAGGAAUACCGGUGGCGAAGGCGGCCCCCUGGACAAAGACUGACGCUCAGGUGCGAAAGCGUGGGGAGCAAAC